GCCUGGGAGAUGGCUGGAACUCUGCUGGGCCUCUGGAGCUCUUUGUCAUGGAAGCAUGAUGGAAGAGAAACAGUAGCUGCUGGGGUAAGGAGAGGGAGCAGAUUUCUCCCUUUGUCCUUCCUUCAGUCCUUCACCAUGACCUCCCAUCAAAUGGGAGACUCCCAGGCCUGUCCUCAGAAGGCCAAAAGAGCUACUGCUGUGGGUGUCUGUUCCCUUUUCCUCCCUCCUUCAUGGGUGAAAAAGGAAUCUGAAAGCAAAGACACGUGGCCAGUUGCUGGGAACACAGGCAUUUUCUGAAAUGGACCAACCCCUCAACCAGCUCCAGAAGGAUUUUAGAGAUGAUUUCAUCCAUCAGGAUGGAUAAUCCUUCAACUCUGAAAUGGGAAGAUCAUAAUGCUUUGCCAAUCUACUCUGAUCCCAGAGAAAAUGGACCGAUAAAUGAAGAUGAUUUCAAGGUUUAAAGCUGCCUCUUCUAACCCAAUCUGCUAAAAAUUAAAACUCAGCAAGGCAUAGUGAGAAGACUUUUCAACUUGUCAUUUUUAUGAAACAGAGAAACCACACGGACUCCAAAUCCUCCCCACUGCAAAUGAAAACAGGCUGCUGUGGUCAAAAGCGUUCUAGGGCAAAAGCAAAAAAGCUCUACCCUGCUUGACCUUCAGCGCUCAGUAAUUCACUGUCACCUCCCAUGAAUUUCAAGCCCUUUUAUACACACCCAAGAUGAUUAUGCUAUACACAUUAAAGGGAGAAACCCGCAGAAUAGAGUCUGGUGAAUAAUAAACAAUAAAUAACAAUGAUGAUGUGAGUGCCACAUUGUUUUGUUUGUUUUUGGUUCUUUGUCGUAUUCUGUUUUUUGUUUUUGUUUUUUUUUUAUGAAGAAUAAUGGAGAAACUUGAAGCUGGUACUUUUCUUGGCAUUCACUAUAUAUGUAUAUGUGUAUGUGUAAGUAUAUGUAUAUGUAUUUAUGACUCUAAAGCACUUUAAAAUAUGUGUAUGUGUAUGUGUAAGUAUAUGUAUAUGUAUUUAUGACUCUAAAGCACUUUUAAAUGACUUUAAAACACUUUAAAAUAAAGUGAUAAAUCCAAGUUUCUUUUUUAAGGCAUAAGUAAGGGGAAGGAGGUAGGGAAAAGAAGGAACUAACAGUAAGGUCUGGGACUGGGCGUCUGUCCGUAGUUCCUUUCAACCGAGAUCUAUAUUUUGUUUCAUUGAAAGCAGUUCUGAUCUUUCCAGUAUAAUACGCAUGCAAAGGUGGGGUGGGGGUGAGGGGGAGGAGGGAGGGAAGGAGAAUAUAAAACUAUACAGCCAUAGGCAUUGAUGGAUGCCAAGGACAGAACAUUUCCAGUAGACCUGGUCUAUAAAUUGUCAUUUAAAUUUGCAAUUUAAAAACACUGCCUGACUUUUUGAUUUAGCUGACUGUAUACGAGGCAAAUAAUGGAAUCCUAAUAAGCACUGUUUAAAUGACAUCUCCAGUCUCCCAGACACAGAGGGUGAGAGUAGAAUUCUAAGGAGAGAAAAUAAAUCUACUAAGAAUGGGAAAGAAGACCAGAACUAAAUAGUUGCAGUAAUCACUUGAUGGCAGAUAUCAGAAAAAUGUAUUUGGGGGGUGUUUAAAAUUCGAAUCCCUGAGAGGCGAAGGAUGGGUUAUCAGCCAAAAUCCCCUAAAGUCAUUGUAAGGAAACAAAAGUGAGCUCAAUUUUUACAUUCCAUCACAUUAAAAUAGAUGAACCAAAAAAAAAAAAAAUCAAGGCACCGAGACAGCAUAUUAAAGUUGAUAAGCUGAGGUUAGAAGAUUUCAACUGCGAAAAGCACUCAGUCUCACAGGCAGCCAUUGGUGAAUCUUAAUGCCAGCAUCGCACUAGAGUAGUGGGUCCAGCUAAGGGGCACCCAGCCCAAAGCUUCUUUCUUCUAUUGUAGGAAAACACAAUGUAUCCUCCCA